rnacentral:rRNA from 1 species
UACGGAGGGUGCAAGCGUUAAUCGGAAUUACUGGGCGUAAAGGGUGCGUAGGUGGUUAGAUAAGUUAUCUGUGAAAGCCCUGGGCUCAACCUGGGAAGGCCAGAUAAGACUGUUUGACUAGAGUACGGGAGAGGGUAGUGGAAUUUACGGUGUAGCGGUGAAAUGCGUAGAUAUCGUAAGGAAGACCAGUGGCGAAGGCGGGUCUCUGGACAGUUCCUGACGCUGAGACGCGAAAGCAUGGGGGAGCAAACAGG